rnacentral:rRNA from 1 species
CCUUCGGGCUUAGUGGCGCACGGGUGCGUAACGCGUGGGAAUCUGCCCUUAGGUACGGAAUAACAGUGAGAAAUUACUGCUAAUACCGUAUGAUGUCUUCGGACCAAAGAUUUAUCGCCUAGGGAUGAGCCCGCGUAGGAUUAGCUAGUUGGUGAGGUAAAGGCUCACCAAGGCUACGAUCCUUAGCUGGUCUGAGAGGAUGAUCAGCCACACUGGGACUGAGACACGGCCCAGACUCCUACGGGAGGCAGCAGUGGGGAAUAUUGGACAAUGGGCGAAAGCCUGAUCCAGCAAUGCCGCGUGAGUGAAGAAGGCCUUCGGGUUGUAAAGCUCUUUUACCCGGGAAGAUAAUGACCGUACCGGGAGAAUAAGCCCCGGCUAACUCCGUGCCAGCAGCCGCGGUAAUACGGAGGGGGCUAGCGUUGUUCGGAAUCACUGGGCGUAAAGCGUACGUAGGCGGCCAUUCAAGUCAGAGGUGAAAGCCCAGGGCUCAACCCUGGAACUGCCUUUGAAACUAGAUGGCUGGAACACGGGAGAGGUGAGUGGAAUUCCGAGUGUAGAGGUGAAAUUCGUAGAUAUUCGGAAGAACACCAGUGGCGAAGGCGGCUCACUGGACCGUUGUUGACGCUGAGGUAC